rnacentral:rRNA from 1 species
GACGAACGCUGGCGGCGUGCCUAAUACAUGCAAGUGGGACGCAAGGACACACACUGUGCUUGCACACCGUGUUUUCUUGAGUCGCGAACGGGUGAGUAACGCGUAGGUAACCUGCCUAUUAGCGGGGGAUAACUAUUGGAAACGAUAGCUAAUACCGCAUAAUAUUAAUUAUUGCAUGAUAAUUGAUUGAAAGAUGCAAGCGCAUCACUAGUAGAUGGACCUGCGUUGUAUUAGCUAGUUGGUAAGGUAAGAGCUUACCAAGGCGACGAUACAUAGCCGACCUGGGAGGGUGAUCGGCCACACUGGGACUGAGACACGGCCCAGACUCCUACGGGAGGCAGCAGUAGGGAAUCUUCGGCAAUGGACGAAAGUCUGACCGAGCAACGCCGCGUGAGUGAAGAAGGUUUUCGGAUCGUAAAGCUCUGUUGUAAGUCAAGAACGUGUGUGAGAGUGGAAAGUUCACACAGUGACGGUAGCUUACCAGAAAGGGACGGCUAACUACGUG